rnacentral:tRNA from 1 species
GAGAGUGUAGCUCAAGUGGUAGAGCAUGUGCUUAGCCUGCACGAGGUCCUGGGUUCAAUCCCCAGUGCUUCCU